CGGGCGAGUGCUAUAAUGCAGUCGAGCGGACAGAUGGGAGCUUGCUCCCUGAUGUUAGCGGCGGACGGGUGAGUAACACGUGGGUAACCUGCCUGUAAGACUGGGAUAACUCCGGGAAACCGGGGCUAAUACCGGAUGCUUGUUUGAACCGCAUGGUUCAAACAUAAAAGGUGGCUUCGGCUACCACUUACAGAUGGACCCGCGGCGCAUUAGCUAGUUGGUGAGGUAAUGGCUCACCAAGGCGACGAUGCGUAGCCGACCUGAGAGGGUGAUCGGCCACACUGGGACUGAGACACGGCCCAGACUCCUACGGGAGGCAGCAGUAGGGAAUCUUCCGCAAUGGACGAAAGUCUGACGGAGCAACGCCGCGUGAGUGAUGAAGGUUUUCGGAUCGUAAAGCUCUGUUGUUAGGGAAGAACAAGUACCGUUCGAAUAGGGCGGUACCUUGACGGUACCUAACCAGAAAGCCACGGCUAACUACGUGCCAGCAGCCGCGGUAAUACGUAGGUGGCAAGCGUUGUCCGGAAUUAUUGGGCGUAAAGGGCUCGCAGGCGGUUCCUUAAGUCUGAUGUGAAAGCCCCCGGCUCAACCGGGGAGGGUCAUUGGAAACUGGGGAACUUGAGUGCAGAAGAGGAGAGUGGAAUUCCACGUGUAGCGGUGAAAUGCGUAGAGAUGUGGAGGAACACCAGUGGCGAAGGCGACUCUCUGGUCUGUAACUGACGCUGAGGAGCGAAAGCGUGGGGAGCGAACAGGAUUAGAUACCCUGGUAGUCCACGCCGUAAACGAUGAGUGCUAAGUGUUAGGGGGUUUCCGCCCCUUAGUGCUGCAGCUAACGCAUUAAGCACUCCGCCUGGGGAGUACGGUCGCAAGACUGAAACUCAAAGGAAUUGACGGGGGCCCGCACAAGCGG
rnacentral:rRNA from 1 species